CAGGAGUUUGAGAAGGAACGAUCAACGAAUCAGCAAGGUUUGAUAAACCAACAAGAUCCACUUGAAAAAAACAAGAGGUGUUGAAGAAGGAACUGCAUUAACAAAUUUCCAGACAAUAACAGCACCAACUCUUUUAGAAUUACCCAGCUCAUCACAUGAGUUGGAGAAGCAACAACCAACGAGUCAAAAAGGUUUGAUAAACCAACAAGAAUCACUUGGAGAAAUCAAUACUACCUACAAAUCCUCUCAGG